AGAGCGAACGCUGGCGGCAGGCCUAACACAUGCAAGUCGAGCGCCCCGCAAGGGGAGCGGCAGACGGGAGAGUAACACGUGGGAACGUACCCUUUGGUUCGGAACAACACAGGGAAACUUGUGCUAAUACCGGAUAAGCCCUUACGGGGAAAGAUUUAUUGCCAAAGGAUCGGCCCGCGUCUGAUUAGCUUGUUGGUGAGGUAACGGCUCACCAAGGCUACGAUCAGUAGCUGGUCUGAGAGGAUGAUCAGCCUCACUGGGACUGAGACACGGCCCAGACUCCUACGGGAGGCAGCAGUGGGGAAUAUUGGACAAUGGGCGCAAGCCUGAUCCAGCCAUGCCGCGUGGAUGAUGAAGGCCCUAGGGUUGUAGAGUCCUUUCGACGGGGAAGAUAAUGACGGUACCCGUAGAAGAAGCCCCGGCUAACUUCGUGCCAGCAGCCGC
rnacentral:rRNA from 1 species